AAACUUGUUACAAUGCAGAUUCGUGGGUCUCGGUUCCCAGAAAUGAAUUCCGUGGAUCUGAGAGGAGGGCCAGGAAUCUGCAUUUUAAUAACUAUCCAGGGUGAUUUUGAU
rnacentral:miRNA from 10 species